rnacentral:lncRNA from 1 species
CCAGAAUACAACAUAAGGCAGAGUAAGGAAUAAUUCACUCUCUGAAUGACUGUUUUCAAGCUGGGACAUGGGUCUCCUGCCUUCAGACUUGGUCUCAGAUAGAACUUAACCUUCAAUUCUUCUGGUUUUUGGACUGAGAAUAGGAUUGGGGCUUAAACCAUCAGCUUUCCUGGUUCUCGGGUCUUUGGAUCCUGAUUGGAAUGAUAUCAUUGGCUUUCCAGAGUCUUUAGCUUGCUGACUGCAUAUCUUGGAACUUCUCAGCUUUCAUAAUCAAUUACAGUUGAAUAUGAGGAGAUUGCAAGAGGACAACUCGGCUCUAAAAUCGAUGCAUUAACAUGUCAUUGGAAUUGACCUUGCCAAAAGAUGCCUCCCUAAAUCCACAAGAAUCUCCUUGUUUGAACACAGUUUCUAAUCCAGCUGUAAUGAAGACAGACAACAGUCAAAUUAACAACUGAUCAGGAGGAGAAGUUCAUACUCCUUGAGCUGGAUCUAUCUGCACAUGCACCUGGCCCAGGAAGCUGAAAUGGGAGAUCUGAUGAGCAGUGGAGGACUGAACCAAAGCCCUUGGCUUUUGCUCCAUACCAGUCAGGAGAUUCAUAGGUCUACAUAAGAACAUUCCCAGAUCAACCGUGAACUCAUAGUUAAAAGCCAGUUCUUUCUUCAGGGUAUUCAACCUAGUUGAGGAUGCAGGACACGUUUUUAAGCAAUUAACAACACUAAUAACAACAUGAAGAACGUUCAAACUGCCAGAUGAAAAGCAUAACCGCCGUUCUGGACAUACACAUGGGCAGAAGAUGUAGCCGCCUUGUGUGAAAAUUUGAGAGCUCUCUACUCCAUCUUCCGCUAGUAUAACCCUCAUUGGCUGGAAUCAUAAUGGUAUCUGCAUCUGGAACUGGCCACUAGUAUAACACCUACAAAAUGCACAACGGCCUUCAGACCAUAUGAAAAGUCUACAGGGUGAGAAUCUGAAAAUCCAGCAAUGAGGAGAAAAAAGUUAUCUCCCAUUAAGAACACUUUCCAGAAGCUACACAAUUCCAGUUAUUGAUUCAUCCCAUUUACUAGAACCUGUUCAUCUGGCUAUGCCCAAAACCAAGGGAAACUGAAAUAGUGGUUACCAUAUUCUGUAACUCAGCCUAGCCUAGCUUCAGAAGUUUUAAUAAAGAAAAUAAAAUGUAUUGAAAUAUUUUUAUAAUAUCUAUUCAUUUCAAAAUACAUUUUUUGUUUCAGCUCAAUCUUCCAUUUUAAUAUUCUAUCACACUCCUUCAUAUAAGUUCAGAUGUAUUUUAACUUCUUUCUGAGGGACAUUGUUUCCUAUAAUCAAAGCAGUUCAACUAUCUGCUAAGUCAGUGCUUUCCUAUUAUAAGCUAUUUUGAUUACAAUCAACCUGUGCAGAACAAUAGGAUGCUUUAGCAAUGACUAAACACCAAUGAAUACUUCCUUAGCUUUACAUAAUGAGCAAAGGAAGUAUGGCCCCAUAGUCUCAUCUCAGUUUCCUUAAGUCACUAUCAAUUCAGGUGUAAAAUACAGAAAACACUUACAUUGAAAUUUUUGAUUCCUCCAAAUGGAAGAUAAAUUAUACAGCAUUGUUGAGUUGUAAUCUCCAAAACCAAAAUUUCUGUGUUUUCCACAUAAGCAACCCAAACUGAGAGUUGCAUAACAGCCCAAGAACUAAACAUUGACACCAGCCUCAAAAACAGACCAUUGAUUAUCACAACAAAAACUUCAAAAUGCACCGGGGCCUCGUGGGCACAGGAGGUCUUUCAGGGAGUGAGCAUCAUUGUGAUAGGAUGGAAAUGCUAAGAUGUUUCUCUAUUCUAUUAAUAUAUUCUGUAUUCUAGCAAUAUAGAAUAUAAUACGUAGAAUAUAGUAUAUAUAAUUAG